rnacentral:rRNA from 1 species
UGAUUAUGACGUACUUGUACUGAUUGAGAUUUUAACACGAAGUGAGUGGCGAACGGGUGAGUAACACGUGGGUAACCUGCCCAGAAGUAGGGGAUAACACCUGGAAACAGAUGCUAAUACCGUAUAACAGAGAAAACCGCAUGGUUUUCUUUUAAAAGAUGGCUCUGCUAUCACUUCUGGAUGGACCCGCGGCGUAUUAGCUAGUUGGUGAGGUAAAGGCUCACCAAGGCAGUGAUACGUAGCCGACCUGAGAGGGUAAUCGGCCACAUUGGGACUGAGACACGGCCCAGACUCCUACGGGAGGCAGCAGUAGGGAAUCUUCCACAAUGGACGCAAGUCUGAUGGAGCAACGCCGCGUGAGUGAAGAAGGGUUUCGGCUCGUAAAGCUCUGUUGUUAAAGAAGAACGUGGGUAAGAGUAACUGUUUACCCAGUGACGGUAUUUAACCAGAAAGCCACGGCUAACUACGUGCCAGCAGCCGCGGUAAUACGUAGGUGGCAAGCGUUAUCCGGAUUUAUUGGGCGUAAAGCGAGCGCAGGCGGUCUUUUAAGUCUAAUGUGAAAGCCUUCGGCUCAACCGAAGAAGUGCAUUGGAAACUGGGAGACUUGAGUGCAGAAGAGGACAGUGGAACUCCAUGGGUAAAAC